ACCGGCGCCCGACGAAACGCUCAAGGAGGACCCGCAAGGCCCAGGUCAAGCAAGAUGCACCCUGUACCCUUUCUCUACCCAGUGUUGAAGACUGACUCAGGUGACAGCGGACUUCCCGACCGUCCCUACGUCCUGGCUGGGCGAGUGAUCUGGAACCAUCUCUUCUUCAUUGUAAGGUUGUCCAGAACCACCUCUUCCUGGAGAACACCCAUAGAAGUUGGUUUUCCCUCUACGUCUCUUUCAUCUUCACAAUUCACUCUGGGAUUAUACAACUCACAGCAACCCUCCUGUUUCAGAUUCCUCUAGUGCUGGCGCUACAGGGGUGGUCAUUUUCUGCUUCUGAAAAGGCACUGUCCAUCAAGAGAACCGAAAGAGAAAGCACAAAGCACAGACAAGACAGCACAGCACAAUGUGGUGAUAACUGUGUCAAUAAGACGGAUGACGGAAAACUAAGAAAGGGGCACACACUGGCAAACUGGCACAGCCUGGGAAGGUCGUGGGUUUUGAAGAGAGGCGGAAAGGAGGAAUGUCUUAAAAUAGUGACAACGUCCCUACCAGCAUGCCUCUUUCCUCAUUUUGUCCUCACCCCCACAGCCAGCUCACAUUUGGAGAUCGGCCAAAAGAGUGGCAGAUGCUCUUCCUCUGUGACCUGGCAAGGACACCCCACCAGGGGGCAUCAGAGUCCAUGUUAGAAACAGCUCCUGCUCCCCUUACUGGGGAACCCGCACGGAGACUGAGCUACAUCUGAGCAAGCCAUGGGGAGCAAGCCAGUAAGCAGCACCUCUCCAUGGCCUCUGCAACAGUUCCUGCCUCCAGGCUCCAGCCCUGCUUGAGUUCCUGUCCUGACGUCCUUGAACGAUGAGCAGUUCUGUGGAGUGUAAACCCCAUGAACCCUUUCUUUUGGUCGUGGUGUUUUAUUGCAGCAACAGCAACCUUAACUGAGACAGCAGAUAUAUAUUUCAUACCAAAUGAAAAAUUACCUGCAACCUGUAAGGAAAUCUCAUUAAAAUCGUUAUCUAAUAAAAAUAAA